UAUGUGAUCGUCUCUCGCAUAUCAAUAAGCGGAGGAAAAGAAACUCAACAAGGAUUCCCCUAGUAACGGCGAGUGAGGCGGGAAGAGCUCAAAUUUGAAAUCUUAAAGGGUUUCCCUUUACGAAUUGUAGUUUAAAGAAGUGUUUUCUGUUGAGGUUUUGGUAAAAGUUCUUUGGAAUAGGACAUCAUAGAGGGUGAGAAUCCCGUAUUUGACCUUUACUUUCAACUUUGUGAUACACUUUCAAAGAGUCGGAUUGUUUGGGAAUGCAGUCCAAAAUGGGUGGUAAAUUUCAUCUAAAGCUAAAUAUUGGCGAGAGACCGAUAGCGAACAAGUACCGUGAGGGAAAGAUGAAAAGAACUUUGAAAAGAGAGUUAAACAGUACGUGAAAUUGUCAAAAGGGAAGCGUUUGACACCAGUGUUGUUUUUCUGAAAAUCAAUUAAAGAACUGUUUAUGCUAAGUUGUUUAGACUUUAUCAGCUAUCUGCUUAGUUUUGAGCUUUUCUUUAAUGCACUUUUCAGUUAACAAGUCAACAUCAAUUUCUUUUGCUGUAAAAAAGCUUGAGGAAGGUGGCUUGAGAUUCGUCUUAAGUGUUUAUAGCCUCUUGCCUAUGCAGUCGGAGAGAUUGAGGUCUGCAGCGUAGAUCCUUCGGGGCUAAAUGCAUUUGUGCUAAGUUAUAGCAUUUUAUAGACAACUUGUUGACUAUGAUUUGUCUUGUAGCUUACUCGCUUAUGUUAUUUUACCUACGCUUAGGAUGUUGACACACGCGCGUGCUCG
rnacentral:rRNA from 1 species